rnacentral:rRNA from 1 species
AAGGAUCAUUACCGAGUUCAUGCCCUUCGGGGUAGAUCUCCCACCCUUUGUAUACUAUACCUUUGUUGCUUUGGCGGGCCGCCUAGCUACUGGCUUCGGCUGGUAAGUGCCCGCCAGAGAACCCAAAACCCUGAAUUAUUAGUGUCGUCUGAGUAAAAUAUUUAAUAUUUAAAACUUUCAACAACGGAUCUCUUGGCUCUGGCAUCGAUGAAGAACGCAGCGAAAUGCGAUAAGUAAUGUGAAUUGCAGAAUUCAGUGAAUCAUCGAAUCUUUGAACGCACAUUGCGCCCCUUGGUAUUCCGAGGGGCAUGCCUAUUCGAGCGUCAUUGUCACCCCUCAAGCCUAGCUUGGUGUUGAGACCUGCUGUCAAGGCAGUCUCUAAAAUCAGUGGCAGUGCUGUCAGGCUCUAAGCGUAGUAAAUUCAUCGCUAUAGACACCUGGUGGCCACUCGCCAGAACCCCCCCAUUUUUUAAUGAUUGACCUCGGAUUAGGUAGGGAUACCCGCUGAACUUAAGCAUAUCAAUAAGCGGAGGAAAAGAAACCAACAGGGAUUGCCUCAGUAACGGCGAGUGAAGCGGCAAAAGCUCAAAUUUGAAAUCUGGCUCUUUUAGGGUCCGAGUUGUAAUUUGUAGAAGAUGUUUCGGGUGUGGCUCCGGUUUAAGUUCUUUGGAAUAUUACAUCAUAGAGGGUGAGAAUCCCGUAUGUGACCGGCAGCCUCCGCCUAUGUGAAACUCUUUCGACGAGUCGAGUUGUUUGGGAAUGCAGCUCAAAAUGGGAGGUAUAUUUCUUCUAAAGCUAAAUAUUGGCCAGAGACCGAUAGCGCACAAGUAGAGUGAUCGAAAGAUGAAAAGCACUUUGGAAAGAGAGUUAAACAGUACGUGAAAUUGUUGAAAGGGAAGCGCUUGCAACCAGACUUGCACGCAGUUGAUCAUCCGGUGUUCUCACCGGGGCACUCUGCUGCGUUCAGGCCAGCAUCGGUUUUGGUGGUUGGAUAAAGGCCUUGGGAAUGUGGCUUCCUUCGGGGAGUGUUAUAGCCCUCGGUGCAAUGCAGCCUACCGGGACCGAGGACCGCGCUUCGGCUAGGAUGCUGGCGUAAUGGUUGUAAGCGACC